UUCCUACUUUUUACCCAACUUAGCAUACCAGACUCUGCACUCAAUAUACUUACGUAUAACCAUGAAACAUUUACAAAAGUAUAAACUAACUAUGUUUUUAACAAUAUUAUACUUUUUAAUAGCUAAAACUACCGGUCAAAGCAUAGGCAUGCCUUAUUUUUACGCACAAGAGGGAAAAGAAAAAUGUUUCAGUGCAGAAGUUCGCACCGGAAUGACAGUCGGAAUUACUUAUAUCAACUAUAAUAAUACUGGUGUAGAGUGUUCUGUUACUUUGAGGGAUUUUAAAAAUAAACCUUUAUAUAUUAGAGAAGUCAACUUGGCCAAACCCCAAGGAAAAAUAACAUACAUAUCCAAGGAAAAUGGGGAACUCAAAAUAUGUGUUUAUUGUUCCCAUUUACCAUGGCAUACCAUUUUCAUGAGAAAAUGGACAAUCUCAAUAGAUACGGGAGAGUUGAGUACUAAGUCAAAUAACUUAGUUGACCAUCAAUAUUUGAAAACUGUAGAAGAUACACUUGAGGCGUUGCAUUACCAAGUUGAUUCUAUACGUGCGGAGAAUAUAUAUCAACAAAAACAGGUUUUACUAAAUUAUUUACCGUAAAGUGUAGAAAUCGGUAUUUGUGCGAAUUGCUUUUCAUCUUUCUUAGGAAGAAAACACUUGAAGUGAUUAUUAUGGCAACAGUAACGCUUUUUGCCAUUACUAAUUUAUCCCGCUACUUUCACGCUCAAAAACUUUUUUGAAAGAAACCCAAAAAUCUUUAGCUUUAGUUUCUUUUGGCAUUAUUUUAUUUUCUUAAGUAUAUAAGUAGGUUCAUAAAAAAAGUUUACUGGUUAGAAAAUGAACGCAAAACAUACAAAGCAUUGAGGCUUUCUUAAAUGUUUUAAAAAUUUUCGACCUUAUUAUAUUAGGUUUUUUUUUUUUUUUUCAAUUUACGCAAUAACGUUUUUUUCGACAAAAAUUAAAAAAAUAAAUUGUUUGUUAUUUUUCUGUAUUAUUCGAUUACCAUUGUUUAGUAUUUAUAAAAAAUAAAAAAGGUUAUUUAAGUUUAAGAUUAUACUUGAUAUCGUUAAAAAGUAUGCCAAAAAUCAUUAUGCAUUUUUUAGGCUAUAUAGCUUUGGUAGAAUAGUCACUUCGUAAAGUAAUUUUGGGAUAAAUUUAAAUUCAGUUUAUUCUUAUUUUUUUGAUACUUACGUUAAAUCAUUUUUUCUUA